ensembl:lncRNA
CAAUGGCACUUCAAAUAAGUAGCGCUGUUUCUUUCUCCCCUGUGAUUUUGAUACAAGCGUAUUCUGUAUGCGGACCUCGCUGCUUCCUCUGCUUGUUCUCUGGUGCGACAUUAAUUCAAAACACACUGGCCUAUCCUCCUCCAUGUCAAAAGGAAGGUGUUCCUCUGGGCUGGAUCCUCCAUCUGUGGUCACUGUAUUUGAUUACAGCCCAUUUACCAUUAUUCCCCUCUGGCCCUUUGCUGUAUGUCACACGUUGCCAUGCAAUUUCUUUAAAAGGUCCACAAGGGGUAAUGUAGGUCAUUUGUAACAAGCACAUACCACUUCUUUUUUUUCAUUGGGACAGUUCCCUGAAAGCCAAUCAGUCUGCCCUGUGCAUGCAGUUUGUAUGUUAUAUCAUUUUUAUGCAGCUGCAGCAACCUAUCAAUCGCUGUGGGGUGUGAUCCAUGUCUGCUAGUGUAUGAUUGAUUUGCAGUGUAUCCCCUGUGAUGCCCUGAAGGACAGGGAGGACCACGGUAGGCCUCGGACACUCUAACGACGCUCCCCUGGAAGUUUAUUCCCCAGAAUUACUAGCUGCUGCUGUGGGGGGGGGGGGGGGGGGGGGGGGGAUCUUAUUUUGAAAGGCCAAAUGUACAUCACAGAGGAUCUGGGCCAAAUGUGUCAGAGAGAUAAGGGAAGCCAUUUUGUCAGCAAAACUCCAGGGAGGGUCCGAUCUAUACUUGGCACCAUAGAGGCUACUUAGUGCAUCAACACACUUUUGUAAUUAACUAGCUAGCUUCCCUAUAUCUACUCUCCUCUGCACUAGUCAUAUUAAUUACAAUAUAUGUAUUAUUAGUCUUGCAGGGGCAAAUAUACUGAAUCUAAUGAUUUGUCAAGCUUUUCCAGGCUGAUUCUUUAAAGAUGACACAGUGUAGUCCUGCAUAGCGGAGCAUAUUGUAUUAUCACUGACAGUGACACAUGAGGUGCAGAAUCACCACAGGGGUUUUCAGCGGUAGGCACAUUUCCAUUACAUCCUGUGUGGCUCGUUCAGACCGAAUGAGUUUGGAAAUGCUCAUUGUUUUUCUUGAUUUAAAGGCACAAUUUAAUAAACUCUUUCUCGACUGUUGACAUUAUAAUGAAAAUAAUAUCAGUAAACGAGCUGCGAGGUGAAUUAUCCCUCAGAAAGAAAAGACAUUAAGAGGCUCCAGUUAUAACAUUUAUGGGAUUUGUGUGCACAGGAGAUGACAAGAGAUGUGUAGAAGUUGAAGCAUACUAGCAAACAACCACACAACUUAAGAGGACCAAACCAAUGAACCCUGUGUUCAUGAUUAGCUUACAUCCUGUGCUGCUGUGAUGGGUUUAAUAUCUAUUUUAUGCUCCCCUCUAAGAAUGGAUAGAAUUUUACUGUUUUAUGUUCCCGCGGAAGAGAUAAGCGUGAUUACACGGCAGGAUUUAAUUAAAAGUACAUUUCAUCCUCAGUUGUUCACUUCUGCACAUACCUGAAGUCCUUUCUUCCAACUUCUUUUUUUGCAAGCGGUAGUAGUCAUUCAUUUUACAGCUUGUUUCUAAUGAGGAAGGGAUUAUAUAGCUGUGGUGGACAUGGUAAAUCUAUUCAGUUGAGUAGAUAUGACUAAAACGGGUAUAAUUAAUUAUUUCAAUGUAUUCUUUAUUACACUGGUAAGUAUUUUCGACUGAAAGGUCAUUGUAAUGAAAAUGAUAGAGAGACUAUGACAAAUAAAGGGAAAAUACUUUUAAAACUACGAACGAUUGUUUUUCCAAGCCACACGUUGCAGGUUAAUUUGCAAUUUAACAAACGACUAGUGACAUUACAUAUUUUCGUGAUGGGCUCAGGCUUGGCAGGUGGUCGUGUAACUUUUCAUGCCAGACGGCUUGUUCUUGUCAUGCUAUUGUCCCCUGUCAGUAUGGCCAUGUCAGAAUCAAAGGGUGUGUGAGAAGGUUCAGGGCACGCUCUUAUAGUGCUGGAAGAAUGAGCUCAGUUGAGGUUAAUAGGAGUCUCUCUGGGUCACUUGCCUCACAGAUUACAUAGAGAUUCAUUGAUAUGACACACUGCUCCUGCCUACAGUCAUAACUCUCAUCUCUCUUUUUCUCUACACGUGUCUCUCUCUCUCGCUCUCUCUCCCUGUCUCUCUCUCUCCUACUAGCUCAGUCAGUCACUCUUAUGCAGGCACAGCCUGACGAUGAAAGAGGGAUGUUAGAAACGCUGCAGGUAAUUAUCUCAGUUUCCAGGAAGAGCUUCACUUCCCCCCUCUUUGUUAGACUGCCACCAUUAUGGAUUCAGCCAUGUGUAUUUCAAGACUGUUUACUUGAUGUGGAAUGUACCAUUAGCUCUCUUUGAUAGCAUUUGAAUGAGCAUUUUUCCUCUUUAUGGAACUUAAAAAAACUUUCCCCCACAAAUCUUUUUUUUUUUUUUUUUACCAAACUCUGGAAGCGCAGAUUUGCAAUUCUUCAGAAGAGUUUCAUGUUGUAUAUUUCAAACAAUUCAACUAAUGAAGAUUACUUUGGUAACAUCUGGUGUGAAGUGUCAUUCAGUCAUGAAAUAAUGGACCUGCAUGAUCAUCUCUUGGAUAUAACCCUCUAACCACCCCUGUACAACACGUGUGCGCACACACACACACACACACACACACACAAUUUCAUUCCCCUUGUGGCCACUAGAGUGCUGUGCUGCAUUGCAGAUAGCAUACUGUGAAUCACAAUAUACCGCUUAAACCCUAUUUAAAAGCCUUGACACAAUAAACUUAGCAUGAUCUCUGACCUCGCCGGUUAUUUCCAAAGUAUCUCCCUAACAACCGCAUCAAACAACUCACCGCAAGUCGAAUGUCAUGUGCGCCAGUCCUGAACCAAUCACGUUGGUUUUCUAAAAGAGGUUCUGGAGCUCUUUGGAGAUUCCUUUGCCCUGCUGAUGCUCAUUCUUGACUGUUAAUAUGCGGAUAAUGGUUUACUAUGUCCUAACCUUUUCAGUUCUACAUCUACACACAAAUGCAGCUCAUCAAAACUGAAGACUAAUGUGGAGUAAUCAGAAUCAGAAACAGCAUAUUUUGAGAUAUUUUGACCAGACAAUUACAUUUUCUACAGUGAAAUUAUGAAAAUACAGAUAAUCAACAUUAUGAUAAUACUGCUAAAAAUAUAUUUUCCAACAUAUACACACAUGUUUGGUUAUUAUAUUAACUUUAAUGGUCUUUGCUUAGAAAUCACCCACUACAUACAGCACAUGUAUAUAGUCUUAGACAGCCAAAUGAAGAGAAUCAGAGUUUUCAUUGAUAUGUGCAGGGUCUCUGUACCUGAAGCUGUCUUUCAUAUUUAUUCUCUCCGGCAUAACAUAAGUACUAUUGAUGCAGCUGUGUUUCAAUGUAUACAUAAUCUGAAGAAUCAAAGAAGACUGCUCUCAAAUAUCAAACUCCACCUUUGAGGUACAUGCUCUAAAGUAUGUUUCUGGUCCUACAUUUUCCCUAUUUGCUGCAUCCGAUAGGGCAAUUAUAUGAUUGCGGUUAGUUAGCUCUUGGCUUGUAUGGGCUUUGAUUAAAAGCCCUAUGAUUAGCUCAUGACUACCCUGAUGGAGUCAUUAUGCUCAGCAGUGUGAGUUAGGGGACGGGUUCCAGCCUCUGAUGUGAAGCUUCUCGUGGUGGAGGCUGAGGGCCCACUGUGGAGAGCUUGAUGAGGCGUCUCCGGCUCUCUGUGAGGACCAGUGAAACAUUCAGCUCCUCAGUCCAGCCAGGGCAGCUUGUUUUCUCCCCGAGCUUCACGACAGGCUGACCUUGCAGAAAUCCAUCUCCCUCCAUGGAGCCAGAACUCUGAGCUCCUGCUGUGGGCUAAGCAUGCUGACCAGAUGAACGGUGCCAGAACUGUUUUUUUUUUAAAUAUAUAUAUAUAUAUAUUUAUAUAUAUAUGUGUGUGUGAAAUGUCCUUACCAGCCCAGGAGAGAAAGUGCAUAUGCAGCAUUUAGAGCUGCCCUGGGCUGCAACUGUUCUGAGCCACAGGGUGUACAUGAGAUUUCCUGGGAUUUAGGCAACAGAGUGUGUGAACCCGACAGAGUAUUUAUGAAAUCCGUUUUUGUGACAUUGUGACCACCAGCUUUUGGGAAAACACAGUGGCUAAUAGUCUCAACACACAGUGCUAUUCUGUCUCUUUUUUUUGCUUUUCCUUUCCACAUGGAAAGUCUCUCCUUUUCUGUUCCUCUCAUUUGCAAUACAUGUAUACAGGAGAUAUGGCAACAGUGCAACGGAAGUGCUAGGAGUCUCUGAUCAAUUACUAUGUCUGACUCUAUUUUGCGGGGAUAUGGUGUGUGUGAUAAAUUUGACAUUCAACCUGACUUUGACAUUCCACACAGAUCCACUCACAGCAGCAUAAACGUAUUUUCUGUCCCUCCACCUUGUCACUGCCACAUAUUGUUGUUGACAAUGUUGAUGGGGUAGUCUUGGUUGACUUGCCAGCUCCUAUUUCAGUUUUUUUUUUUUAGUUCUAGACAUAAUCAUUCCAAAACUCAAUUAGAAUCAAAUGUGAUGCCAAGACAGACAGCCAGCCAUUACUGUCAGUGAAAGUAUGACAGGUUCAAAACACCAAAUCUGCUUGAUAAGUUAAUUAAACCUUUAUCUCCCAGAGAAGCUGGCUGACAUGGAUAUUAUUUACCCCAUAAGAUAGGAUAAGGUAAUAAGCAACACCCCUGUGCGUAUGUAGAUGUUUUGAAAAAUAUAAUUUCACAACAAAUUGCCCAUGUGUGAAAGACUUAUAAAAAGGACUCAUUGCUUUGGUGGUGAGAGUAUGAUCUCUAUCACAUACAGGUUUUUGACCUCUGACCUCUGUCACUGCCUGCUUAAUGUAUUAAAUGCCAUGACUCUGGUCCCAGUGAAUGGACUUAUUAUUAUACACGGAAGAACUCCUAGAGGAGUAUCUCUCUCUUCCAGGUUUUUUUCCCCCUCCAUUUCAUUAUGGUUAAAGAGAGAUGUCUGGCUUUGUUAGCAUAAUGCUUGUUAUUGUCUCUAAUGAUUUUAAACUAAACAUUAAUUGAUAGCUGUUUAAUUAAUCAUGGGUCCGCGAGUAUACAAGAGGAAUAACCUACAGGUAUUUAAAUUAUUCACACAUAAAAUGGGUUCUUUGCUCUGUUGGAGCAGUAAACAGGUUGCCACUGCCUUACAAUAUGUGUUGCGUUAAUUGAUGUAUUGAUGUCACGUGCACGCAGCUUUGUUUUGUUUUAGACUGCAGCCAACAUGUCGUCUAGGCAGAGGUGUGGUUAUAGUUCACGCAAAAAUAUGACCAUAGGGCCACUUGCAAUGCCUGCAAAACGUCUCUUUCGUCAAAGGGGGGAAAAACUACCAUUACGCCGAAACAUUUGUCCAUACUGCAUGCAAUAACUUUGCAGGAAUGUCACGUUUUUGAGCGCUACGGAGUGACGAUAACGUUAAUUAAUCUCAACCAAGCAACAGCAGCGCGGCUAACGUUAGCGCUUCAGCUGUUAAUAUGGAAGGUAAACUCUAACAGUCUAUUGUGUUAGUGCCAUUGGUUUCAUUGUGUAAACCAGCUUUCACUAUUUGUUUAUGUCAGUUAUAUUGUUAGUUCAAGGAGAAUACACUUAAAAAAAAAAAAAAACGCACUGUAAUUGGCAAGUUCAAAUAUUAUUUAGCACAGCGGUUCUCAAACUCUGGUAUAUCAAGGACCCCUAAACUGCCACAAAUUAGACCAGGGAGGGAUCCCUAUUUGAUAAGAUUAUUUUCCAGGCUCCCCCAUCUGAUUUUUGAGUUUAGAUGUUUUAUUACAAAAAUUGUAUGAAACCCAUUACCAAAUCAGUCAUACAUUCUGUUACUUAUGGUUGGAAUUAUAGUCAAAACAAAUACUUUUUUUCUUUGUUGGGACCUCCUAGCACCCCAUCAAGGAAAAUUAUCCCUAGGCUAUGGGUCUCUGGACCCUACUUUGAGAGUUUGUUGACCUAUUCUUAGGUUUGUUUUUGGUUAUUUAAAACAUGUAAAUGUAUACAUACAUACGAUAAGCAAGAAUCGUUAUGGAAUCGGAAUCGUUAAAAUCUUAUCAAUUCUCAUCCCUAUAUACAUACACACACACACACACAGUCUAAUGGGCUGAGGAAUAGGUCACACAGAGAAGAAUACAUUUCUUUAGGGGGAUCUAUUGGUAGUCAGCAUACAGUGUAUGAAAUGUGCAUGAUUCAGCUGUGAAUUCAACAGUGAUGAAAAUAUUUGCAAGGAAGUGACAAGCAUACAUUCAUAUUUAAGCAGCUGAUGUGAACCAAUAGAGCAUGAGGGGAUGACUGUGAAUCAGACAACCAUUGCGUUCAUUGUUCUGUUGCUUAAUAAUGUGGAGGUGUUAAAACUCACAUUUAUUCUUGAGAAAGCAUGUUUUUAAUGUAAGUCAACCCUUCCGUAUUAAUUGCUGGAAAGAGGUUACACUAGUUGUGGAUGAAUUAUUAUUUUCAAUGGCACACCCUCAAUGUAAAUUUCACAAGAAGGCAAUUAAAAGCUUCAUCUAAAUUCCCUGGGAGCAUGCAAGAAGACUCGGGACAAUCCCAACGUCUCUCGCAGCUCAGAAGUCUCGAGGUGGUUACAUUUUUAAUGACUUUUGGAUUUUAAUUGAACACACUGAGACAUUUGCAGAGCCCCAGAGAGGCCAGGGGAUGUGGGGAAUCCAAACGCAGAGAGAGAGAGAGAGAGAGAGAGAGAGAAAGAAAGAAAGAGAGAGAGAGAGAGAGAGAGAGAGAGAGAGAGAGAGAGAAACAGAGAGAGAGAGUGAGUGCUGCAUAAUCUGUUUUAUUCACUCGAUUUUUCUCUUUGCAAUUAGAGUAGGCUCCUCAGCACACCGUAGACUACUGCAGAGAGGCCAGUGGCACUGUAGCUGAGGGAACCUACUGAGAGUAAAGUUUGAUAUUAUUGAAACACACACACACACACACACAAUUUCAUAUUUCAGGUAGGACAUAGCCUCACAGAACACAAAUGCAUUCGGUCUUCUUCAAAGAGGCAUCUACAUUCUCUUGCAGCUAUUUAGAGGAGCUGUGCAUGUGAUUAUGAAGAAUGAAUUUCAUCAAGAUGCCAUCAGGGAAGUGGCUGUGUGUUGAAGACUUUGAAGGCCGGGUGCAAUCACAAGACUCAGGCAACACAAGAGCCCUCAAAACUCAGCUGCUGCUGCCAAGCAGGAGAGUCUCUGGAGAGAAACGCUUGUCUGUCUCAUGGUUGUCUCAUAGCUGUCCCACCGCCCACUGGGUAAGUGGCUGAAGGCAUUUCUUCAGAAGAUGCCUCUGAACGGAGAGAAAAGGGAGGGAGGGAGGGCAAAAAAAGCCUAUUAAUUACCGAUGUGGUCUCAAAGCACGGACGCGACAGCAGGUAAAUGAGAUUCCGGAGGAACAGCUGCAGCUCCACAUCUCCCUGGUCUGCUAUUCUUAGAAGAUAAGAAACAGAGGGGACAGACUGCAGGAUGGGCCGGAGAAAUUAGCCAUUAGGAGAGAGAAGGUUUUUUCCCCCCUACAAAGGAAGUGGGAGAGAAUGUUUCUCAGAUGUUAUGAGACCGAGAGGGCCAAGUGAGGCGACAGGAAAAUGAUGAGAUUACAAAAAGAGUUGAGACAUACAACAAGACAAUACUUGAUCAUCUUACAACCCUGAAGACACACACACACACACAGUCCUGAAGCUUCAGAAAUCUUGUUUACCCAUCAGGCUGGCUGGAAAACAUACAAAAAAAAAACCCGGAAAAGGAUCAGAAUGAGAUGUGGUAUAACGUCAUAAAAAAAAUAAUCAAUAAAUAGGCCUCUCAGAGAGAGCUGGCUGUGUUUCUCCCUGCCCCAUCUCCCCAUGCUGCAUAGCUAUUGCUUUCAAUCACAGUAGCUAACAGUGAUCUCACAUUGUAAUACAAUGCCAGCCCACCUGGAAUAAUGCCAUCCAUCAUCACUUGAUGAAUAAAUAGUGAAUGCAAGGGGAAUAUCUGCUUGUUUGAGAGGGAAAUAAUAGGCUCCCUAUUUUCCCUGCGGCCGGGGAGAGGGUGAGGGUGAUGGGGGGGGGUGCUUGAGGGCGGACUGGGCUGAAUUUGGGCAUCAAUCUCCCGCUCUGUGUCAGAUGAUUGGGUGACAUUAGGUGCGGACGGAGCACAGGUGAGGUGACAGGUCCUACAUCCUGCCCGGGCCUUAUUUACGUCAGCGAGGGACACACACAUACAUUACGGCACAUCGGGUGGGAAAGGGCGUAAAGGCUGAGGGAGAUGGAGAGCCGGGGUAAAUAGCCUCGCUGUCAGAUUAUCCGUCAUUUGCUGCACUGGCACCCAGACACAUCACCAUGGCGAGGAGGCCCUGCUCCUGACUAAAUAUUCACAGUAAGUGCCUCAGCAGAGUUCAUUAACCUGAAUAGGCUGAGGGGACUAAAUCCUUCACAUACACGUGCA